rnacentral:rRNA from 1 species
GAGUGGCGAACUGGGGAGUAACACGUGGGUAACCUGCCGUUGAAGUAGGGGAUAACACUUGGAAACAGGUGCUAAUACCGGAUAACAACCAAAACCACCUGGUUUUGGUUUAAAAGAUGGCUUCGGCUAUCACUUUAGGAUGGACCCGCGGCGUAUUAGCUUGUUGGUAAGGUAACGGCCUACCAAGGCAAUGAUACGUAGCCGACCUGAGAGGGUAAUCGGCCACAUUGGGACUGAGACACGGCCCAAACUCCUACGGGAGGCAGCAGUAGGGAAUCUUCCACAAUGGACGAAAGUCUGAUGGAGCAACGCCGCGUGAGUGAUGAAGGGUUUCGGCUCGUAAAACUCUGUUGUUGGAGAAGAACAGGUGUGAGAGUAACUGUUCACAUCUUGACGGUAUCCAACCAGAAAGCCACGGCUAACUACGUGCCAGCAGCCGCGGUAAUACGUAGGUGGCAAGCGUUGUCCGGAUUUAUUGGGCGUAAAGCGAGCGCAGGCGGUUUCUUAGGUCUGAUGUGAAAGCCUUCGGCUUAACCGGGGAAGUGCAUCGGAAACCAGGAGACUUGAGUGCAGAAGAGGACAGUGGAACUCUAUGUGUAGCGGUGAAAUGCGUAGAUAUAUGGAAGAACACCAGUGGCGAAGGCGGCUGUCUGGUCUGUAACUGACGCUGAGGCUCGAAAGCAUGGGUAGCGAACAGGAUUAGAUACCCUGGUA